AACGAACGCUGGCGGCAGGCUUAACACAUGCAAGUCGAGCGCCCCGCAAGGGGAGCGGCAGACGGGUGAGUAACGCGUGGGAAUCUACCCAUCUCUACGGAAUAACGCAUGGAAACGUGUGCUAAUACCGUAUACGUCCUUCGGGAGAAAGAUUUAUCGGAGAUGGAUGAGCCCGCGUUGGAUCAGCUAGUUGGGGGGGUAAAGGCCUACCAAGGAGACGAUCCAUAGCUGGUCUGAGAGGAUGAUCAGCCACACUGGGACUGAGACACGGCCCAGACUCCUACGGGAGGCAGCAGUGGGGAAUAUUGGACAAUGGGCGCAAGCCUGAUCCAGCCAUGCCGCGUGAGUGAUGAAGGCCCUAGGGUUGUAAAGCUCUUUCACCGGUGAAGAUAAUGACGGUAACCGGAGAAGAAGCCCCGGCUAACUUCGUGCCAGCCGCCGCGGUAAUAC
rnacentral:rRNA from 1 species